rnacentral:rRNA from 1 species
UGGAAGGGCCAUCGCUCAACGGAUAAAAGGUACUCCGGGGAUAACAGGCUGAUACCGCCCAAGAGUUCAUAUCGACGGCGGUGUUUGGCACCUCGAUGUCGGCUCAUCACAUCCUGGGGGCUGAAGUAGGUCCCAAGGUAUGGCUGUUCGCCAUUUAAAGUGGUACGCGAGCUGGGUUUAGAACGUCGUGAGACAGUUCGGUCCCUAUCUGCCGUGGGCGCUGGAGAAUUGAGGGGGGCUGCUCCCAGUACGAGAGGACCGGA